rnacentral:rRNA from 1 species
GACGAACCGGACAAACGUUAUUCGGAAUCAUUGGGCUUAAAGGGUGCGUAGGCGGUGCAGUAAGUUGGAUGUGAAAUCUCUCGGCUCAACCGAGAAACUGCGUCCAAAACUACUGUGCUUGAGGAAGAUAGAGGUGAGCGGAACUAAUGGUGGAGCGGUGAAAUGCGUUGAUAUCAUUAGGAACACCUGUGGCGAAAGCGGCUCACUGGGUCUUUUCUGACGCUGAGGCACGAAAGCUAGGGUAGCGAACGGG